rnacentral:rRNA from 1 species
CCUUCGGAUUGUAAACUUCUGUCAUUAGAGAACAAUGCACGGGAAUAUAAUACAUUUUCGUGUUGAUAGUAUCUGAAGAGAAGAGACGGCUAACUCUGUGCCAGCAGCCGCGGUAAUACAGAGGUCUCAAGCGUUGUUCGGAUUCAUUGGGCGUAAAGGGUGCGUAGGUGGUGAGGUAAGUCGGAUGUGAAAUCUCGGGGCUCAACCCCGAAACUGCAUUCGAUACUGCUUUGCUCGAGGACUAGAGAGGAGAUUGGAAUUCAUGGUGUAGCAGUGAAAUGCGUAGAUAUCAUGAGGAAGACCAGUGGCGAAGGCGGAUCUCUGGACAGUUCCUGACACUGAGGCACGAAGGCCAGGGGAGCAAACGGGAUUAGAUACCCCGGUAGUCCUGGCAGUAAACGGUGCACGUUUGGUGUGGGAGGAUUCGACCCCUUCUGCGCCGGAGCUAACGCGUUAAACGUGCCGCCUGGGGAGUACGGUCGCAAGAUUAAAACUCAAAGAAAUUGACGGGGGCCCGCACAAGCGGUGGAGUAUGUGGCUUAAUUCGAUGCAACGCGAAGAACCUUACCUGGCCUUGACAUGCAUCUCUAACCUGGUGAAAGCCAGCGACUCCCGCAAGGGAGAAUUUGCACAGGUGCUGCAUGGCUGUCGUCAGCUCGUGUCGUGAGAUGUUGGGUUAAGUCCCGCAACGAGCGCAACCCCUGUGAACUGUUGCCACCGGACCGUGAGGUCCGAGCACUCUGUUCAGACUGCCCUGUGAAACGGGGAGGAAGGUGGGGACGACGUCAAGUCAGGAUGGCCCUUACGGCCAGGGCUGCACACGUACUACAAUGCCCAGUACAGAAUGAUCCGAUACCGCGAGGUGGAGGAAAUCCCUAAAACUGAGCCCAAUUCGGAUUGAAGGCUGCAACUCGCCUUCAUGAAGCCGGAAUCGCUAGUAAUGGCGUAUCAGCUACGACGCGGUGAAUACGUUCCCGGG